rnacentral:rRNA from 1 species
UACGUAGGGGCCAAGCGUUGUCCGGAUUUAUUGGGCGUAAAGAGCUCGUAGGCGGUUCGGCAAGUCAGCUGUGAAAUCUCCACGCUCAACGUGGAGGGGUCAGCUGAUACUGCUGUGACUUGAGUCCGGUAGGGGAGUGUGGAAUUCCCGGUGUAGCGGUGAAAUGCGCAGAUAUCAGGAGGAACACCGGUGGCGAAGGCGGAUCUCUGGGCCGAUACUGACGCUGAGGAGCGAAAGCGUGGGGAGCGAACAGG